rnacentral:lncRNA from 1 species
AUUUUGAUUUACUUAUGUAUAGAGAAAAAAAAAAUUUGGUGUAAAAUUUGAAGAUACUGUUUAAAUGCAUAAAUAUUUUGUUCGGAGUAUUUUUUUAGUUUGUUUAAAAAUAUUAUAGUAUUUGAUAGAAAAAAAGUAUGAUUAGAUGCCGAAACAUAGGUAAAAUUUGUCAUUUUAAUUAAUAUUACAUUAUCAAAUGGUUAUAUACUUUGCUAAAUUAUAAGGAGCGUGUAUAUAUAUAUAUAUACAGAGUGAGGCUACUAUGCUAUUGGAAGCACGGAGCUUUCCGUGCUACUAGCUCGUUUUCGAUGUUGCGACUUUCGAAUCGUCGAUCGGCUCCGUUAAACUUGAUCUAGAGUGUUUGGACUACCUAGAAAAUGAAUUUUAUUAAUUUUCGAUAUCAUUUGCCUAGUGAUCGAAUGGGCUCAAAAUCAACAAAUUUCAAUGGCCGUAGUAUGUCGUUUGCAAGUUUAACGGUGUAGAAAUAUCCAAAUCACGUGAAAUUUUGAUAGAAAAUUCUUUAUACUAUAUAAAACAAGAUCAAUAUCUUUGAUUUAAAAUUUUAAUGUCAUAUUAUUACAUUUUGUAAGAUUUUUAUUUUCAGCCGUUGAUU